rnacentral:misc_RNA from 1 species
GAUGAAGAACGUAGCGAAAUGCGAUAAGUAGUGUGAAUUGCAGAAUUCAGUGAAUCAUCGAAUCUUUGAACGCACAUUGCGCCCCUUGGUAUUCCAUGGGGCAUGCCUGUUCGAGCGUCAUCUACACCCUCAAGCUCUGCUUGGUGUUGGGCGUCUGUCCCGCCUCUGCGCGCGGACUCGCCCCAAAUUCAUUGGCAGCGUUCCUUGCCCCCUCUCGCGCAGCACAUUGCGCUUCUCGAGGGCGGCUCCGGGACGCGAUCCAGCAAGAUGACCACCGUCUUUGACCUCGGAUCAGGUAGGGAUACCCGCUGAACUUAAGCAUAUCAAUAAGCGGAGGA